GUAAGUGUGUAUUACAUCUAAUAGAUCUGUUUUAAUGAAGACGGGUGAGCAUCUGUCUCUCCAUAGACGAUCUUUGUAGUGCAACGUAAUGCCGUCAAACCUUCGAAGAGACUGUCAGCAGCGCAUUGGUCAAGCUAGGUGAUUGACACGUCUAUAGAACCGUCAGAGCCAGCAGAAUCGACGGACAGCAUCAAAACCCCUCCCAAGGAUUCGCUAUCUGCGAGGGGGCGGGGCGAACCCACUGUGACGUCUUUUUUCCCCGACGCUAUUUUACACGCGACUUCCGCGUGUGUAGUCGAAGUAGGACGGACCAGGCGGAUUAACAUCUUGAAAUGACGAGCGGUCUUUGUGCUCGCUAACGGAAGCGGAUCCAUGGAUCGAAACAAACACAACUUUUUCUGCAAAGACUUCGACGGUUUCAGACGAACCGGGAAUGUGAUCUGCCGGCUACAUUCAGACUCACACAGCGAGGUGGAGAGGCUGCUCCAUACAGCCACCAUGCUGAGCACCCCCCUCCUCCAACACACACACACACACACACACACACACACACACACACAAGCCAGAGAACACACUGUCCUCCCGGACCUCCGACAGCUACACCUGCUGCCAUCCCUGAGAGUUCCCCGCUGCUGGAUGCUUUGAGACCUACAGCCGCCCGCCGCCAACCGACACGAGGGGGUGAAUCAACAGAGCUGUGGUCUCCCGGGACAGUGAGCAGCAAUUUGAGGAUCCAACACCCGGCUUUCCAGGAUCAGCCUCAUUGUCAAACUGGGGCUCAGGAUUUGUUGGACUUACAGACUCUCCAACAUCACCAUCACUGGAACCUGCCAGCGCAGUUAAAACUCAAGGCGAGAUGUCACAGCCUUGUCUCAUGAAGGCUCCGAGAGAGAACCACAGGCUGUUGAAUAUGCCAAACUCGUUGGUCGACUCAUUGGUCUGGAUCUGCCCGUCCUCGUACUCCUCGGUGUGCCACUCGUACGGGCUGAAGCGGCUGACGAGGAACAGCACGACGCUGACGCCGAUGUAGGCGAACACUAUGCACAUCCAGAUCUCGUAGGCGAGCGGGUCCAGGAAGGAGAAGACUCCUGGUUUGGAUUUUUGUGGCUUCUUUAUCAUGAUGGAGAUCCCCAGAGACAUGAAGGGCUUGGAGAAGUCGAUCACCUCCUCUCGUACCAAAGUGAUGGUCAGGGGAGCCACGGCAAUGUCUGCUUUCUAUCAGACCAAAGGACAAAAAGAAACAACACUUCAUAUUUAAGUUGUAAAUCAACAUUACUCCAUGUCGUCCGAGACCUAAACGAAUAACUCACCCCAUACACCAACUCUCCCACCAUCCCAUUCCAGAUUUUGGUCUCGGCAUCUCGGGCUCCAUAUUUCCCAUCCCCCACUAUUUUCAAUUGAUAUUUGAAGCCGCAGUGUUUCGCUAUCUCCGCCGCCAGAUCGACACAGUAUCCCUCGUAGCGGUCAUUGUCUACGAAAAGGUCAGCGUUCUUUUUCAGCAUUACAUAGGGAGCUUCCUGAAGGACGGAGACAAGCGCAAAGAAAAUACUGUUUUAGCACAAAUGGGUUUUAAUUACAAUACAAAGAAGGCAGCUGACAGCUCAAAGACACUGGGCUCACAGGUCAUUAUGGAUACAAGAGGGCUCUGGUCUUAAACAAAGUCAGGAGGAAAUAAGGAGCCUGGUAUUAUUGUGGCUGCCAAUCUGAAGGCAAAAUUUCACAGAUGCAGUAUUUACCAAGAUGGUGGUGACUAUAACGGUUUUGUUUUCCAUUCCUGUUGAUUCAUUUGCGAACACAUCAGAUUUGGUAACAGCCAUUCUGUCCACCUCAUUCCAGUAUCCAAUCUGUUGGCAUAAAAAAGAAAUUAUUGACGACCGCAUGUGUACCAAAAAAAUAUACAAAACUCAAAUUCAAACCAUCCACGUUUCAACUUGAUUGCAUUUUUUAAUAUGCUCACCUUUACGGGACCAUUAGUCUUCAGUUCCAUCACAUUCACAGAGUAGUUGACUCUCUUGCCGUGUUGAUCAAACUGGAUGUUUCCCGUCAAGCCUUCCACACGGACCUUAGAGGAACAAAAUCAAAAUGUUCCUUUUUUAUGUCUUACAUAAUUCAUCAUAGUGCAUUCGACUAUAACAGGAAGUUGCUUGUGAGUUAAUGUGGUAGAGGACAGUUAGCACAGUUUUUAAAAAAAAAGCUAACUCCUUUUAAAUACGUUCCUGCUACAGUGGGGACCCUGACACCCAGGAGAUUUUUACAGAUGGUAUAUCGGAUGGAAUGUGGUGAUUGAUGAAAAAUCUGUGAUAGUAUUUUAAUGAAAGCCAACUGCUGAGAGAUAAUCACUCAAAACGUUCUGUUUUUGAGUGAACAUCUUAGAUUAAAAGAGGUAUUAUCCAAAAUAAUAAUAAUACUUGGUACUAGUGACUAUUGAUUGAUUUGUUGUCAAAUUGUUCAGCCUUGUCAAGCAACUCAUAAAAUAAGAUGUGAGAUGGAAAUAUUAGUUUAGAUUGUUGUUUUGUUUGCAUUCUAGACGUGAAUGUUUGUGUAUUGUCACUGCUUGUUCUCCACCCAACAUCCAAUACUUUGCAUUGUAUUGUCGCCUAUAAUAAUACAUAAUAGUUCAAUCAA